rnacentral:rRNA from 1 species
GCGCACGCUGGCGGCAGGCCUAACACCUGCCAGUCGCACGAACCUUUCGGGGUUAGUGGCGGACGGGUGAGUAACACGUGGGAACGUGCCUUUAGGUUCGGAAUAACUCAGGGAAACUUGUGCUAAUACCGAAUGUGCCCUUCGGGGGAAAGAUUUAUCGCCUUUAGAGCGGCCCGCGUCUGAUUAGCUAGUUGGUUGAGGUAAUGGCUCACCAAGGCGACGAUCAGUAGCUGGUCUGAGAGGAUGAUCAGCCACAUUGGGACUGAGACACGGCCCAAACUCCUACGGGAGGCAGCAGUGGGGAAUCUUGCGCAAUGGGCGAAAGCCUGACGCAGCCAUGCCGCGUGAAUGAUGAAGGUCUUAGGAUUGUAAAAUUCUUUCACCGGGGACGAUAAUGACGGUACCCGGAGAAGAAGCCCCGGCUAACUUCGUG